rnacentral:rRNA from 1 species
GGUGCCCAGCCCAUGAUUAUAUCACAUGCAGUCGAACGGUAGCACAGAGAGAAUUUAUCUCGGGUGACGAGUGGCGGACGGGUGAGUAAUGUCUGGGAAACUGCCUGAUGGAGGGGGAUAACUACUGGAAACGGUAGCUAAUACCGCAUAAACGUCGCAAGACCAAAGAGGGGGACCUUCGGGCCUCUUGCCAUCAGAUGUGCCCAGAUGGGAUUAGCUAGUAGGUGGGGUAACGGCUCACCUAGGCGACGAUCCCCUAGCUGGUCUGAGAGGAUGACCAGCCACACUGGAACUGAGACACGGUCCAGACUCCUACGGGAGGCAGCAGUGGGGAAUAUUGCACAAUGGGCGCAAGCCUUGAUGCAGCCCAUGCCGCGUGUAUGAAAGAAGGGCCUUUCGGUUUGUAAAAGUACUUUUCAGCGGGGAGGAAAGGCGUUGAGGUUAAUAACCUUUGUCGAUUGACGUUUACCCGGCAGGAAGAAAGCACCGGCUAAACUCCGUGCCCAGCAGCCGCGGUU